UUAAUCGCCAUCCCGAUGGGCUCUCGAGCUCUGGUUCCAGCGGUGCCAGUACCAGCUGCACCUUUAGCUCAACCGCCUAGCCCAGCGGUGGAUGCUAAUGAUCCAGGAGCUAUGUUAGCGGGCUUACUUUGAUUCAACCUGGUAAGACAAACGCUUACAGUGGCACGAUGUGAAGAUCAUCGUUGAUAUGCAAGACAAUUGAAGACCCCAGCACUAGAAGAUCCCUUUUCGAGGUUCAAUUUGUUCCAAAAAACUUGCUUAUAUUCAUUUAAAAAAAUCAGCCUCAUAACAUUUACUAUGUAAAUUUCAGGUCCUACAACGGAUACUGAUGGGGACAGAUGUUGUUAAAAAUGUGAACAAGAACAAUGCGUCUCACGCUGUGCUCUUUGAAGCUCUAUCUUUGGUAAGAUUUCCAGGCAGAUAAUUAGCGCAAAGUUUAUGCCAUGAAAUUCAUUGAUGCAUUUUUCCUUUUUGCCCAUCUCCUUGGCAUGUCUCAACUCCUUUUUGCCAAGACAUCUGAACCCAAAACAGAAUGCUGACUAGUGCAUGGACGUUUUCCUUUUGAUUCUGUUUAUUAAGGAAAUAGCUAGUUUUAAAUAUUUGGUAAAUGAUUUACUUGCUUGUCUAUCUUCCGUUUACCUUCUUUUUGCUUUCCUUUUAAACAUACCCUAUCCUUCAUCGAUUCACUGCAAUUUUGCGUAAAAGUUUUUGUACUGUUUUGCUUAAACGUUUGGUACUAAUUGUUUAUCAUGAAUGUAUGAUUUUGAGUAUUUUAACCUGUUAAUAUGUUGUUCCGGUAUAGGUCAUGCAUCUCAAUGCUGAGAAGGAAAUGAUGUCACAGUGUGUUGCUCUCCUAGGAAAAUUUAUUUCUGUACGUGAGCCCAACAUCAGAUAUCUAGGCUUGGUGAGUUUUUAUAUACUGGUUUCCUGCUUGUAAAGCCGAGCUAGAACUCUGUGUACUGUUUGUGGUGGAUCAUCUAUUAGUUGGCCAUAAUGAUGCAUUUCCUGCAACACUGCAGGAGAAUAUGACACGAAUGCUGAUGAUCACAGAUGCCCAGGAUAUCAUAAAGAAGCACCAGCCUCAGAUAAUCACCUCUUUGAAGGACCCUGAUAUAAGGUUGAUUCUAUUUUCACUAUAUCAAUAUGAGCUAAUGGUUGUGAACCGAGGCUCUCGUCUCUGUUGGUCAAAUUUGCAGUUUGUUUAGCUAAUUCAAUCACGAACACUGGUUGUAGUUCAUAACUUCCGUGGAAUAGUGUCAAUCGAAAUUCAAUUCGAUUCGAUUUGGGUUGUAGAUAUGCAACUUAAAACUAAAUUGUGAAUUUGUUUCCCUAUAAUCUUCAGUAAAGCAAUAUCUUCUUGACAUAUACUCCUGGUAUCCUGUGUUAAAUAGUUAUUGGUAUAUUUAUUUAUGUUAGCAAUACUUAUUGCGUAGUAUAAGAACUAUUAGACAGUACACUUUGUAUGAUAUAAAUCAUCAUUGUGACCAUAUUGAGUGAAUACCAAACUUUAAACUUACGUUCGCAAUUGAAACUGUCUUCCGCAAUUUAUAGUUGUAAAUUUGUAAAGAGUUUUAAUAAUUAUAUAUGUACUUGUAUAUAUAUCUAUAAAGAGAGAGAGAUAUCCUACUUCCUUGUCAUUUGAUUCAAUACUUUUCCCAUGUUUGUUUCAUAUUUUUGUAUGCUGCUGACCAGGAUUGCUUUCCUGCAGUAUUCGGAGGCGAGCUCUUGAUCUGCUUUAUGGAAUGUGUGAUGUGUCAAAUGCAAAGGGUAUAGUCGAAGAGCUGUUACAGGUAAUUUUUGUUAAGAUUGAUAUUUCCUUUACCUAUGGUUUUCCUUUUGCGUGAGAUGUUUAAUAGAAGUUCAAUACGAAAAAAUAUAAUGCAGUAUCUUAGCACUGCUGAGUUCUCCAUGCGUGAGGAAUUAUCACUUAAAGCUGCUAUUCUCGCUGAGAAAUUUGCUCCUGAUCUAUCUUGGUAAGGAUUCAAUCUAAUAUGUAGAUCACUUUGAGAUGCACACAAUAACAUUAUGAUGCAUUAACCAAUCGUUAUGAUUCUCAACACGAUAAAUCUGAUCAAUCUUUUGCUACGGAACAUGAUUCCUGUGAUGUUGAUCAGGUAUGUAGAUGUGAUCCUUCAGUUGAUUGAUAACGCGGGAGAUUUUGUUAGUGAUGACAUUUGGUUUCGUGUGGUGCAAUUUGUUACAAAUAAUGAAGACCUGCAGGUAAUGAAGAUUUGUUACAAGAAAUCUGUUUUAUAUAUUCGUUUAGUGGCAUUCUUAACUUGCUUUAGAAUUUCUUCAAUGUGUCAGCCUUAUGCAGCAUCAAAAGUAAGAGAAUAUAUGGACAAGAUUGCGAUACAUGAGACAAUGGUGAAGGUUCGUAUGCCCUUAAAUUUUAGAAUUAGCUCUUUCUAUUGCAGAAUGUGGUAACUUGUGAUUCUUAUAUUCUCAUUUUCGUAAUGCUAGCUAAAUUGCAACGCACAGUUUCUACAUUUUCAAACUUUGAAACGAUUCUUUACCAUUUGAAUGGUAUGCGAAUUUCAGAGUUUAGAGUAAGUUAUAUUUCAAUACAUGUUUCAGGUCAGUGCUUAUAUUUUGGGGGAGUAUGGUCACCUUCUUGCUAGACGACCUGGAUGUAGUGCAAGAGAGCUCUUUGGCAUUUUACAUGAGAAGCUUCCCACUGUAUCGUAAGCAAAUCUAAACGAUGCAUGGUGUUUUUUCUUUCCUUUGGGUAAUUUUUAGUUGCUGUACCUUAGCCACCGUUGUCUUUUCUCAGGAGUCCAACCAUUCCUCUUCUUCUCUCGACAUAUGCAAAGCUUCUUAUGCACGCUCAACCUCCAGACAUAGAAUUGCAAAAGCAGAUUUGGAAUGUAUUUAAGAAGUGAGAGUUCCGAACCUUGUUAUUCAUCCCAGGAGUUCUGCUUGUCAUGUUAUAUGCUCUACUUUUCUUAUUAAAGUUUUAUGUUGGCAGAUAUGAGAGUAGUAUUGAUGUGGAGAUACAACAGCGAGCAGUUGAAUAUUUUGAAUUGAGUAAAAAAGGGGCUGCCUUGAUGGAUGUAUUGGCCGAGAUGCCAAAAUUUCCUGAGCGCCAGGUUUGUUGUUUUGUUUCCUGGUGUUUAAACAGCUUAUCUGGUAAUUUUUUUUUAGGCUUUCAAUAAUGGAUGAUGUGAUGUUGAAAAUUUUCGCCUUUCCAUAGUCCUCAUUGAUAAAAAAGGUGGAAGAUGUUGAAGAUACUGCAGACCAGAGUGCGAUCAAGCUUAGAGCGCAACAGCUACCUUCAAAUGCUUUGGUUUUGGCUGACCCACAGCCUGUUAAUGGGACACCCCCGCCUUUGAAGGUUCCAAGCAUAAGUGGAAUCAAAGUGGGUAUUUCCUCCAAUUGGGUCCAAAUAAAGGAGACAUUUUUUCACCACAUAUCUUCUGACGGUCCCUUUAUCUUUGUUGUGUAUGUAGCUGGACCACGAGUCAGCAUCCCAGACUCAAUCUCAGCCAAAUGGCGAUUUGAGUAAAGUACAGUCACAAAUUCCAUCAGCAGAUCUCCUUGGCGAGAUGGUCGAUCCUCUGGCAAUAGAGGCUCCGCCGGUAGACAUGGGGAGCCACCAACGUGUUUACAGAGAGGAGGACGGAAUUCCAGAUGAAGUUGAUGGCACAGCCAUCGUACCUAUUGGUGACCAAGCAAACAAGGUUGAGGUAUGUUUAGCUCUUUCCUUUACUCUCUUUGGCAUUGUAGGGGAUAAACAUUGAUGAAAUGCUAUAUCUAAACAACUUUAGUUAAUUGUUUCAACUUUCUAAAGUCAGUCAUUUUCUGUAUCAGUCAUUUGCCUUGUAAGUGACUUGCGUUUUAAUCUCAGUUCAGCAUAACUGAUAGGUUGUUAUCCUACAUUCUGAAGAGCGGGCACAUAACUGACUUGUCAUAUCUAACAUAGUAUCCAUUUACCUUUUAUGUACAUCUAAUUGUUUUUUGCAAUCAUACUCUCCAUUUAGAUCCUUGUUAUUGUUUUCUUAUUUGUUUUUCUUUUCUUAAACAGCCGAUUGGAAAUAUCACCGAGAGAUUCAAUGCUUUAUGUUUGAAAGAUAGUGGUGUCUUAUAUGAGGAUCCUUAUAUUCAGGUUUGAUUUCUUCUUUUGUCAACUCCUUUCUCUUUGUAUUUGGUUAUCUGUUUCACAUAUGGCGAACUUUUACUUUUUGUGGUCUACUUUGAAUGGUGAAGAUCACAAUACUCUAUUUUAAUUCAUGGUUACAAUGAUCUAACAUUCUAAAAAAUGUUGGUACUCUCUCAGAUUGGUGUGAAAGCUGAAUGGCGAGGACACCAUGGAAGACUUGUCCUCUUCUUGGGAAAUAAAGUUACUUCUCCACUUACGUCUGUUCAAGCUCUAAUACUACCCCCUGCUCAUUUAAAACUGGAACUGUCUCUUGUACCUGAUACCAUUCCUCCUCGAGCACAGGUACUUAUAUAUACACACAUAUAUAUAUAGGUUAAACUGAUCCUAAUAUUUUUCUAUCAAUUUUUAUGUUACCUGUUUCUUAUGGUCUUAGGUACAAUGUCCACUCGAAGUGAUGAACAUCCGUCCUAGCAGGGAUGUUGCGGUUUUGGAUUUCUCCUACAAGUUUGGUACAAGCAUGGUAGUUACUGAAUCAUUGGAUAAGACGAUAUGAUAGCUUGUUUACAGACAGGGUUUCUUGUUCGCCUCUCUCUGACUUCUCGUCUCUCUUAUAGGUCAGUGCCAAAUUACGCCUCCCAGCAGUCUUGAAUAAGUUUCUUCAACCUCUACAGUUGACAUCUGAAGAGUUCUUCCCACAAUGGAGAUCACUUUCAGGACCACCAUUGAAACUUCAAGAAGUUGUAUGUAUUCCUGAAUGAAAUUCAUACGCUACUAAUGUCUCGUUUGCGUCAUUAAAUGAAACUGCAAUUUCCCGCAGGUUAGAGGUGUAAGACCUCUUUCUCUUUCGGAAAUGGAAAAUCUAUUCAACAGUUUCCGGGUGACGAUAUGCCCCGGGCUUGUAAGCAUCUCUUUUAAUAUAAUAUCUAUCUAAAAGUUUCCGGGUGAUCAUAUGCUGACCUUAAUAUAUAUAAUUACGUGGUCUGAUGUAGGAUCCCAACCCUAAUAAUCUAGUGGCAAGCACAACCUUCUACUCAGAAAACACAAGACCCAUGCUCUGUUUGGUGAGAUUUAGUAAUCGAAGUUCCAACCUGGGUGUUUCUUUCUCCAUCUCAACGUGUUCGUAUUUUUCUUCAAUCGCAGGCAAGGAUUGAAACAGACCCAGCGGACAGGACCCAACUGCGGUUGACUGUAGCCUCAGGAGAUUCAACCCUUACAUUUGAGUAUGAUAAUCGUCUCUUCCACUAACACAAUCAGCCCUAAACUUCAUGAUAAGAACACAACUCUUCCAUUCCAUGAUUGGCUGAUUUUACCUUCGUCUAUACAGGUUGAAAGAAUUCAUUAAAGAACAAUUAAUCGCCAUCCCGAUGGGCUCUCGAGCUCUGGUUCCAGCGGUGCCAGUACCAGCUGCACCUUUAGCUCAACCGCCUAGCCCAGCGGUGGAUGCUAAUGAUCCAGGAGCUAUGUUAGCGGGCUUACUUUGAUUCAACCUGGUAAGACAAACGCUUACAGUGGCACGAUGUGAAGAUCAUCGUUGAUAUGCAAAGAGUAAAAUCAGAAGAUGUGAGAGGGCUUGCAGAGGCAGAGUAAGAGUGAGCUUAGUUUUGAU
rnacentral:lncRNA from 1 species